UGGGCAGGGAGGCUUCAUAAAGACACAGUGCAGGCCUCAGAUCCCAAAUAACAAGAUACCAGCAAAUAUUGCCAAUUCCCAGCUGCCUGUGAAGAAGAUGAUGUUUGACCUUCUUGAACCGCUGCAGUCCAUGUGGUGAAGGUGCUCCCACAAUGCUGUUAGGUUCAUUGUCUCAAUUAUUUUCUUCCUUCCAAUCCCUGAGCUCCAUCUGACAGUGUAAUGUUGCUGAGAGGGGUUAGAUUGUGAUGCAAACCAACAGGAAGAGAAACUCAGAGGCUGGCGGACUGAGGGAGCAGCGAGUUCUGGAACAAAUCGCGGGCCUGGAGGGAUGGA